rnacentral:rRNA from 1 species
UACGUAGGGGGGCUAGCGUUGUCCGGAAUCAUUGGGCGUAAAGCGCGCGUAGGCGGCCCCGGUAAGUCCGCUGUAAAAAGUCAAAAGGCUCAACCUUUUGAAUGUCAGUGGAUACUGCCGGGCUAGAGUCCGGAAGAGGCAGUGGAACUCCUGGUGUAGCGGUGGAAAUGCGCAGAUAUCAGGGAAAGAACACCCGACGGCGAAAGGCAGC